CGAAUGUGUUAAGAGGAAAGAGUAUUCCUAAAAUUCAAGCGAGAGAAAUGGUUGUCGAAAGAGUAGUAUUUGUAAAAAUACGUACUUCCGACUACGAAUACUCGAAUCACUUGACGCCUAUCUGAGGAUCUACAGAACUGCAACUCGUCCAUUUCGAUCCUGAUCGUGGAAGAGGCAGCAGUGUGAAGUUCUUUUUUUAGUAUCGCGGUGUGUUUUAAAAGGCAUAGCUAGUGCGGUCAGUGAAUUGUGCGGUCAGAAAUACAAAUUUGAAUUCGCUACAUUUCGUGCGAACUUGUGUGUGAAAAGAAGCCGAUCGACGGCUUCUUCUCUUUUAUUGAAAGUUUGGAGAUUUUUCGCCAUCCGUGUUCUAGCGACGCAUACGCUCGGCACGCCGCCCGUCUCGUUUACCACCCUGCUGACCCCACGUUCCGGCUUCGAAAGUUCCCGACGCUUUUGGCAAAAGGUCGGAAGGAAGCUGCAAAAUCAUCAACGCGCUUCGUUAGAGCGACGGCCAUCUUCA